AUGGACGGGUGCGCCGCCGCUCAGUACAAGGUGGGCGGGCCGGACGCGUGGGGGGUGCCGCCGUCCAGCAAGCCGAACGUGUACGUGCGGUGGGCCAAGUCAGUCCCCGUCAAGCUCGGCGACGCCCUCUUCUUCCUCUACCCGCCCAGCCAGGACAGCGCCGUGCAGCUCACCGCCAAGGCCUUCGCCGCCUGCGACGUGUCCGACCCGCUGCUCAAGCUGGAGGACGGCAACUCCAUCUUCAACCUCACCAAGCCCGGGCGGGCCUACUUCAGCAGCGCCGCCCCGGGGCGCUACCGCAAGGGCUAGAAGUUCAAGCUGCGAUGA
rnacentral:rRNA from 1 species